rnacentral:rRNA from 1 species
UUAAAUUGAAGAGUUUGAUCAUGGCUCAGAUUGAACGCUGGCGGCAGGCCUAACACAUGCAAGUCGAACGGUAACAGGAAGCAGCUUGCUGCUUUGCUGACGAGUGGCGGACGGGUGAGUAAUGUCUGGGAAACUGCCUGAUGGAGGGGGAUAACUACUGGAAACGGUGGCUAAUACCGCAUAACGUCGCAAGACCAAAGAGGGGGACCUUCGGGCCUCUUGCCAUCAGAUGUGCCCAGAUGGGAUUAGCUUGUUGGUGAGGUAACGGCUCACCAAGGCGACGAUCCCUAGCUGGUCUGAGAGGAUGACCAGCCACACUGGAACUGAGACACGGUCCAGACUCCUACGGGAGGCAGCAGUGGGGAAUAUUGCACAAUGGGCGCAAGCCUGAUGCAGCCAUGCCGCGUGUAUGAAGAAGGCCUUCGGGUUGUAAAGUACUUUCAGCGGGGAGGAAGGUGUUGUGGUUAAUAACCGCAGCAAUUGACGUUACCCGCAGAAGAAGCACCGGCUAACUCCGUGCCAGCAGCCGCGGUAAUACGGAGGGUGCAAGCGUUAAUCGGAAUUACUGGGCGUAAAGCGCACGCAGGCGGUCUGUCAAGUCGGAUGUGAAAUCCCCGGGCUCAACCUGGGAACUGCAUUCGAAACUGGCAGGCUUGAGUCUUGUAGAGGGGGGUAGAAUUCCAGGUGUAGCGGUGAAAUGCGUAGAGAUCUGGAGGAAUACCGGUGGCGAAGGCGGCCCCCUGGACAAAGACUGACGCUCAGGUGCGAAAGCGUGGGGAGCAAACAGGAUUAGAUACCCUGGUAGUCCACGCCGUAAACGAUGUCUACUUGGAGGUUGUGCCCUUGAGGCGUGGCUUCCGGAGCUAACGCGUUAAGUAGACCGCCUGGGGAGUACGGCCGCAAGGUUAAAACUCAAAUGAAUUGACGGGGGCCCGCACAAGCGGUGGAGCAUGUGGUUUAAUUCGAUGCAACGCGAAGAACCUUACCUGGUCUUGACAUCCACAGAAGUUUCCAGAGAUGGAUUGUGCCUUCGGGAACCGUGAGACAGGUGCUGCAUGGCUGUCGUCAGCUCGUGUUGUGAAAUGUUGGGUUAAGUCCCGCAACGAGCGCAACCCUUAUCCUUUGUUGCCAGCGAUUAGGUCGGGAACUCAAAGGAGACUGCCAGUGAUAAACUGGAGGAAGGUGGGGAUGACGUCAAGUCAUCAUGGCCCUUACGACCAGGGCUACACACGUGCUACAAUGGCGCAUACAAAGAGAAGCGACCUCGCGAGAGCAAGCGGACCUCAUAAAGUGCGUCGUAGUCCGGAUUGGAGUCUGCAACUCGACUCCAUGAAGUCGGAAUCGCUAGUAAUCGUGGAUCAGAAUGCCACGGUGAAUACGUUCCCGGGCCUUGUACACACCGCCCGUCACACCAUGGGAGUGGGUUGCAAAAGAAGUAGGUAGCUUAACCUUCGGGAGGGCGCUUACCACUUUGUGAUUCAUGACUGGGGUGAAGUCGUAACAAGGUAACCGUAGGGGAACCUGCGGUUGGAUCACCUCCUUACCU